CCUACGGGUGGCUGCAGUGGGGAAUAUUGCACAAUGGGGGAAACCCUGAUGCAGCGACGCCGCGUGAGUGAAGAAGUAUUUCGGUAUGUAAAGCUCUAUCAGCAGGGAAGAAAUAGCGACCUUUGGGUCGCCAGACGGUACCUGACUAAGAAGCCCCGCCGCACUACGUGCCAGCACCCGCGGUAAUACGUAGGGGGCAAGCGUUAUCCGGAUUUACUGGGUGUAAAGGGAGUGUAUACGGCAGCACAAGUCUGAAGUGAAAUGCCGGGGCUUAACCCCGGAACUGCAUUGGAAACUGUGCAGCUAGAGUGCAGGAGAGGUAAGUGGAAUGCCUAGUGUAGAGGUGAAAUGCGUAGAUAUUAGGAGGAACACCAGUGGCGAAGGCGGCUUACUGGACUGUAACUGACGUUGAGGCUCGAAAGCGUGGGGAGCAAACAGGAUUAGAUACCCGAGUAGUC
rnacentral:rRNA from 1 species